CAGCUUCUCUCCCGAACAGCUCUGCCCUCCAAACACUCCUGCCUUGCUGUAGGAAUUUCCCUUCCCAGCCCCUGGGAACAGCCAAGCCACCUUCCAAAGAUAGCCUUACACCGACUGCCAUUCACAAGAUGGAUCUUGCAGACUUCAGCACAUCUACAGCAUCGGGAACACCAAACGAUGAUGGCCAGAAGGUGCCAGACUUGCGCGUACCCCACUCAGUUGGAACCCCACUCUGCUCCCACAGGUCGAUAUGUGCCCUCUGAGGAAACACCUUCAAGCAGAACCUCACUUUCUGAUCUUCCUGAAGUCUCAGAAUCCAGAUUACGCAUCAUCCCUAUGCGGAAUCAGGACAACCUCCCUCUGAGAAUUCAGAGCCUGCAGGAUGCUUAGUAGGACAUGCCUGGAAUUACACAGAUUAUGCCUCCUUGCAUGGGAGAAGUAGAAAAGUCACAGCAUGGGUUAAAAAUACGCUUGUCUUCUCUCAAUAAUUAAUUGUUUAGGGAUUAACAUGAGGUUUUGUGUUUUGAAAGUAAACUAAUCCACUCGUUGGCUGGUGUGUAAUGAAGGAGAACAGGUUACUGUCAAGCAGGCUGAAAACAGUGAAAAUUAACUACAAGUGCCACGACUCACAUAUUUUAUGUAUAUGAGUAAUGUAUUCUCUGUGGGACAGAAGAUGAAAAUAUCACACAGAAAAGAAAAACACAGUGGCUACAAAUUUAAUAAAACAAGCAGUCAUACUUAGCCUCGCAGUAUAGUCUGGCAUUUUUACUGCCCGAUGGUAUCAAGGUUGGGCCAGUGCAAGAGAAUUCAUGCUCGUGAACUCACAAGAAGCACAAACUUCACUUUCUGCAGCCUCUCUGCUUGCAGAGCUAGCAAAAGGGAAGGAAAAUACAACUAAAACCAAG
ensembl:lncRNA